rnacentral:tRNA from 1 species
AGCCCCGAGGUGUUAGCAUGCCGGGCAGCAAACUCGGAGAGGCGAAUUAGCGUUCGCCGGGGCUU